UAUAUACAGGGUAUUACGGUACAGAGUCAAUGUGGAGGCUAUAUACAGGGUGUUACGGUACAGAGUCAAUGUGGAGGCUAUAUACAGGGGGUACCGGUACAGAGUCAAUGUGGAGGCUAUAUACAGGGUAUUACGGUACAGAGUCAAUGUGGAGGCUAUAUACAGGGUGUUACGGUACAGAGUCAAUGUGGAGGCUAUAUACAGGGGGUACCGGUACAGAGUCAAUGUGGAGGCUAUAUACAGGGGGUACCGGUACAGAGUCAAUGUGGAGGCUAUAUACAGGGUGUACCAGUACAGAGUCAAUGUGGAGGCUAUAUACAGGGUGUUACGGUACAGAGUCAAUGUGGAGGCUAUAUACAGGGUGUACCGGUACAGAGUCAAUGUGGAGGCUAUAUACAGGGUGUACCAGUACAGAGUCAAUGUGGAGGCUAUAUACAGGGUGUUACGGUACAGAGUCAAUGUGGAGGCUAUAUACAGGGUGUACCAGUACAGAGUCAAUGUGGAGGCUAUAUACAGGGGGUACCGGUACAGAGUCAAUGUGGAGGCUAUAUACAGGGUGUUACGGUACAGAGUCAAUGUGGAGGC